rnacentral:snoRNA from 1 species
UCUCAGUGAUGAAAACUUUGUCCAGUUCUGCUACUGACUUCAAGUGACGAUUAAGUAUUACCUGAGGAGA